rnacentral:rRNA from 1 species
UACGUAGGGUGCAGGCGUUAAUCGGAAUUACUGGGCGUAAAGCGUGCGCAGGCGGUUUGCUAAGACAGGUGUGAAAUCCCCGGGCUUAACCUGGGAACUGCGCUUGUAACUGGCAAGCUAGAGUGUGGCAGAGGGGGGUGGAAUUCCAGGUGUAGCGGUGAAAUGCGUAGAUAUCUGGAGGAAUACCGGUGGCGAAGGCGGCAUCCUGGACCGACAUUGACGCUGAGGAGCGAAAGCUAGGGGAGCAAACGGG